GCCUGGGGGGCUCAGUGGGCUGAGCGUCUGAUUUCAGCUCAGGUCACGAUCUCAGGGUUCGUGGGUUCAAGCCCCGCGUCGGGCU
rnacentral:tRNA from 1 species